ACUCCCCCCGCUAGCU
rnacentral:tRNA from 2 species